AGAAAUAUGUCUGAUAAAAGAGUUACUUUGAUAGAGUAAAUUAUAGAGGUUAAAAUCCUCUUAUUUCUA
rnacentral:tRNA from 2 species